UUUUUAUACUUCCAUCUUGAUUAUAUUUGAUUUUUUUUUGGUUUGAUGUUGAUUUUAGGGUUUCACUAAAAGCUUUUUAUCGCUUAAUCAAAUUCAAGAUUCAUCAAGUGUUGAAAUUAAUGAUUACAAGUUUUUCCUUCUUUCUUCUUGAUCAUUCAUUAGUGACGAUUAAUUAUAAGCUGUCUUGAAUUAUAGCUUCUUUUUUAAAAAAAUCUAUGUCAUUGGCGAAUUCAUCGUCUGGAGUGGUCACCAAUGACAAGUGUAAGCUGAGGUUCUUGGAGUUUGAAGCGAGGAGGAGCCACCAAUUUAUCAUGGAAGCUUUAAUUUUCCAUGUUAUACGGAAUAUUUCUUAAGAAGAACCCCUGUUUCUUCAGUUUUUUUGUUAGAUGAAAAAUAACAAGACGUGGGAAUCCCGUUUUCUGGGUUACAAGAUUUUGGUUUCAAAUCUGCUGUUGCUGCUUGCAGAACUGAAGAUGAAGAGGAAGAUGGGUCAAGUAUUUGGUUUCAUCACUAAUAGGAAAAGUUUUUCUUGCCAUGUUAUGCCGGAUGUUGUUGGUUUCCUUGCUGAAAAAACUUAACAAACAGAAAUGUUGCAGCUGAGCAACAUAUGUUCUUAUGAUUGAUGGUGAUCAAUGAUGAUGCAAGACAAGGCUCAAGUGGUGGUUCUUGGGUGGCUUAUGUGAGGGGUGGUGGUUCUUAGUGACUGAAACCAUGGCUUGAGAGGGAGGGGGAUAUUUUUCAUGUUUUUCACUUUGGGGAUUGGUCACAUUAACAAAAACAAAAUCAAUAGUGGUUUGUUUCUGUUUAUUAUCCUGGUCUUAUGAUAUGUGUUGCGAGUUUAGUUGGUUAA